CAUUGUUCAGAUGUGUUUGAAAUCACUGUAAGAACUGAGGGGAGAAACAAAAACGUGAAUGAAUAUAUCAGUACUCGUUAUUUGUCUCGGUUUAUUAGCUAGCCUACUAAUUGUCUAAAGUUAAUUGUAAAUUCAUUUAAAAUAUGCAUUAUAUUUAUGCUUAUAGAUACUUUUAUCUAAAGUGACGUAGGGGUUAUUUAAUUUUAUCAGUUUGUAGGUUCCCUAAGGAUUUAUGUUGAACUACAUUAAACUUGCCUUGUGAGGCUUUAUAUCACACUCAUAAAUAACUAACAGUUGGUUUGUAACACAUUUUCUUAGUUUUUCUUCCAGACUAAUCGGCUACUGUAUAUGCUUGUGUUUAGAGUGACACACAGGUGAUUAUUCAGAUUUGGGCACGAGAAGCGCGUGCGCGUCAUUUCAGCGCGCUCCAGUGAGUUUGAGCUGCAGUGCGUCUCAUUCCGCUCGCGUCCGUUUGACGUGAACACACGCCGCAUAUUCAGCCCUUAAAACUGCAGAGCACUAUUAAAACAAAGUUUCAGAAACUCUAGAGUGUUUUGCGCUCGCACGCACACAGACAGUGGUUUGGUCAGGAUGGGCUGCUCAUCGUCCAGCACGCAGACGCUCGCGCAGGAGAACCGACCGGGCGUCAAAGCGGAGGAGGCGAGCGGAGAAACUCUGCAUCCCUAAACAGAUGAUGGAUAUCAGGACAGACAGCUCAAACCCCUGUUAGGACACAUGCAGCCCCAGGCUCUGGUCCGACCAGUCCGCUGUGUUUCCUGAUCAUUUUCACAUCGGCGCUUCCAUUGAGCUCAGGGUGAUCGGUCUGUGAGAUAGUCAUUGCUUUACCCUGUUUAUCAGCUGCUGUCCUGGACGGAUCAGAAGCAGUAAUUUCCUGUGGUUUAUUGCUUUUUUCUUUUGGCUGGUUUCUCUCUUGAUCUGUCUUGUGUAAAAUUAACACAAAACGUAAAAACUGACACAACACAGAGAGGAAUUGUCUAUUCAUUUGAGAAAAUGGCUGAGACAACAACAGAAUUCAGUUACAGGUGUGUGCUGAGAGUAAACCUUUACACCAGAUCCAGCUGUGAUUCUGCAGCAGCACAACUCAGAAAACUCCAGCGGGAUGCAAACACACACCUCAGGCUCCGAC
ensembl:lncRNA